rnacentral:rRNA from 1 species
CAGCCGCCGCGGUAAUACGAAGGGGGCUAGCGUUGUUCGGAUUUACUGGGCGUAAAGGGCGCGUAGGCGGAUAUUUAAGUCAGGGGUGAAAUCCCAGAGCUCGACUCUGGAACUGCCUUUGAUACUGGGUAUCUUGAGUAUGGAAGAGGUGAGUGGAAUUCCGAGUGUAGAGGUGAAAUUCGUAGAUAUUCGGAGGAACACCAGUGGCGAAGGCGGCUCACUGGUCCAUUACUGACGCUGAGGUGCGAAAGCGUGGGGAGCAAACAGGAUUAGAUACCCCGGUAGUCCCUGUCUCUUAUAC